AAACGAGACUUGUCGGGGAUAGGGCGGGACACUUCCGGCUGUUGCGCUCGCUUCCGUUCGCAGUCGGCGGCGUGGUGGGGAGCUGUUGGUUCGGACUGUGGCAGGAUCCGAUGCCAUCCUCGGUCCCUGCCAAAAGCAUGCAGGAGGAAGGGAAGCCCAGCAGCGCCCUGCUGAGCCCUGGAUGCAAUGUGUCUUCCACCCAAUGAUCCUGUACUAAAGAAAGUGCCUGUCUCAAGCCAGGGGCUGGUAACUUUGACUGCAAGCAGGUAAGGAAUUGCUCGAGAAAUGUUUCUCUGUGCUUGUGAGAAAUCAACAGGCUUUUGGGGCAGCAGGGGUGGGUCAUGGUGUACAGAGUGCUGAUUCCUUGAACCUCUUCCUUGCCAGGGUAGCAUAGGAAUGUAGUGGGUGAUCAUUAGUGUGUUCAGGUAUUGCCCUCCUGAGCAGAUUGAAUGCUGUCUCUCAGCAGGCUGUAACCUGAUGUGCUGGAUGACAAAGGGCAGAGGAAAUGAUGGUCCAAAUGUUGCCGAAAGGAGCAGAACUCUACUUGAUGUCCAGUUUCCUACACAUUCCUCCUC
rnacentral:lncRNA from 1 species